GACGAACGCUGGCGGCGUGCCUAAUACAUGCAAGUCGAGCGAAUCAAUGGGAGCUUGCUCCCUGAGAUUAGCGGCGGACGGGUGAGUAACACGUGGGUAACCUGCCUGUAAGACUGGGAUAACUUCGGGAAACCGGAGCUAAUACCGGAUACGUUCUUUUUUCGCAUGAGGAGAGAUGGAAAGAUGGUUCUGCUAUCACUUACAGAUGGACCCGCGGCGCAUUAGCUAGUUGGUGAGGUAACGGCUCACCAAGGCGACGAUGCGUAGCCGACCUGAGAGGGUGAUCGGCCACACUGGGACUGAGACACGGCCCAGACUCCUACGGGAGGCAGCAGUAGGGAAUCUUCCGCAAUGGACGAAAGUCUGGCGGAGCAACGCCGCGUGAGCGAAGAAGGCCUUCGGGUCGUAAAGCUCUGUUGUUAGGGAAGAACAAGUACGAGAGUAACUGCUCGUACCUUGACGGUACCUAACCAGAAAGCCACGGCUAACUACGUGCCAGCAGCCGCGGUAA
rnacentral:rRNA from 1 species